GAAUCCGAGUUACCCUGAGUUACUGGCUGCAUAUCAGUGCGGGUCCGCAGCAAAUUCAGUCCUCGCCUCCUGAGAAGAAAUAAGUCGAGUGAGGGGCCUAAGACAGAAGAGACCAAGGUUUCACUGUUCCUAGCUAAAAUUCCAGGCUCUGUUGCAUCUCGUUAUGUUAAUAUGACACAGUUCUGGCUAAUAACAUAGAGAUGUAAGUCCCUGAGAGAAGGCUUCCUUUCAGAAAUUUGUCUUCAGAAAUAUAAAAGGCAGACCCCUUUGAAGGCAUUGAGGAGACAGAGAGUUUCUUUGUAGCAAAGGACAGAUUGGCUUACAUCGCUGGAAGACAGAGAUAUCAUCUUCCUCUGAAGCAAAUGCCAGGCUUUCACUGAUGGAUGCUUAAGUUGAUUCCAUGUCCUUGCUACUGUGAAUGAAUAGUCUUGCA